rnacentral:rRNA from 1 species
AGAGUUUGAUUAUGGCUCAGAUUGAACGCUGGCGGCAGGCCUAACACAUGCAAGUCGAGCGGUAGAGAGAAGCUUGCUUCUCUUGAGAGCGGCGGACGGGUGAGUAAUGCCUAGGAAUCUGCCUGGUAGUGGGGGAUAACGUUCGGAAACGGACGCUAAUACCGCAUACGUCCUACGGGAGAAAGCAGGGGGCCUUCGGGCCUUGCGCUAUCAGAUGAGCCUAGGUCGGAUUAGCUAGUUGGUGAGGUAAUGGCUCACCAAGGCGACGAUCCGUAACUGGUCUGAGAGGAUGAUCAGUCACACUGGAACUGAGACACGGUCCAGACUCCUACGGGAGGCAGCAGUGGGGAAUAUUGGACAAUGGGCGAAAGCCUGAUCCAGCCAUGCCGCGUGUGUGAAGAAGGUCUUCGGAUUGUAAAGCACUUUAAGUUGGGAGGAAGAGCGGUUACCUAAUACGUGAUUGUUUUGACGUUACCGACAGAAUAAGCACCGGCUAACUCUGUGCCAGCAGCCGCGGUAAUACAGAGGGUGCAAGCGUUAAUCGGAAUUACUGGGCGUAAAGCGCGCGUAGGUGGUUAGUUAAGUUGGAUGUGAAAUCCCCGGGCUCAACCUGGGAACUGCAUUCAAAACUGACUGACUAGAGUAUGGUAGAGGGUGGUGGAAUUUCCUGUGUAGCGGUGAAAUGCGUAGAUAUAGGAAGGAACACCAGUGGCGAAUGCGACCACCUGGACUGAUACUUGACACUGAGGUGCGAAAGCGUGGGGAGCAAACUGGAUUAGAUACCCUGGUAGUCCACGCCGUAAACGAUGUCAACUAGCCGUUGGGAGCCUUGAGCUCUUAGUGGCGCAGCUAACGCAUUAAGUUGA